CGCGGAGCCGGGCCGCCGCACGGCCAGCGGGAUGGCGGUGGGGCCGGCCCGACCGGAGGAACCGGGAGGGGAUCCCCCCGCGUCCUCGCGGGAUGGAAGAAGUGUCCCAGGCCGGUUACCUGGGUUGCUGUUGAAACUGUCCUUCCCAGCAGUGUGUCCCGCCAGGCCCUGUACAGCCUCUGAGGUCUCCCCGACCCCGGCUCCCCUCAGGCCGCCCGGCCGUGCCCGCGGCAGCGUUUCCACCGCGAGAUCCGCAGCCUGGCCCCUACUUGAAGAUGCCCGAUUCCGCCCACCUCAAUCCUCUUUACUCGUCAUGCUUAUCUAAAGUCAGUGCUCCUCUGAAGGUGUUGAACGUCAGCCCUUCGUGACGUCUCUUUUGGGAAGCGUGGCAGCCUUCUCCCCACUUCAUUACACAGUUCAGUUCCCAGGCUGGGAACCCACAAAAUGCUUGUUGCCAACGUUCAGGUGCUGUGAACUGCAGGGCUGGAAAUACCUGGGACAGUGACUGUGGGGAUCUGCUACAGCAGGAUUUGGGGAAACAAACCAGCAAUCGGGAAAAAUGGUGCACUUCUAGGCCUCUUAUCAGCGGCACUACACGUUGUAUGGGUGAUUAUUUCCAGUGGCCAACUGAGCACUGAGCCUGACUGGUCCAAACACUGAAGAUACUACCAUAAAAUGUUCCUAACUGCAAUCAUUUUCAUAGCUAAAACCACUAAGUUUAUAUAACUGUUUUGCACUUUGAUGCAUUAAUAACAAUUUUUAAAUUUUAAAACUGUGUAUGUACAGUGCUUAGUACAUUGAAUCCUCAUCUUCAUUUAGUUCCCCAGGUUCUACUAUAAUACAACUCAUAAAAAAUGUGCUUUGUAAAGUCAAUAAGAACUUUAACUUGAACUCAGAAUUUUUUUCAUCAUUUGCAUCAACGCUAUACAUAUUAUUCAUAAUUUGAGCUGCAAAUUUCUAUGUGCAAUGUUCAUCUCUGACAUCUUUAUUCAGUGUUACAUUUCAGCAAAACUGUGUCAGCCAUUUUUAGGAAUAUAAUUAGGCAAAAAUCACAAGCUUGUUGAAUAGUAGGAGACAUCAGGGAAGAAGAAGUUGAAAAAUUGAAAAGUCCAGGUGAUAUUUUUUAAGGUUUUCUGGCUCUAAGGCCAAAAAUGGCUCACUAGUGUGAGACUGAAGAUGUGCUUUGAGUGGAGCAUCAGAUGACAACCCUGAUGGUGGGAGGGAUGCCCAGAUGCCUUAGCUUCUCUCUCCCAACUAGAACUGUUCUCCACUGGAGAAUAACUGGAGCAGAUAAAGCUGUCUUAAACUAACAUGCUGAAGAGUGGGAUGCUGAAUUAGGCAAAUGGAACAUUAGCUUCGAAAAGUUGCAAAGAAAAUUGAGAUAAUGUGAUAAGGAAAUGUUAAGACAGUAUUUCAGUUGUAAAGAAUUUAAAACCAAGUUCUUUUCUAGUAUGUAAUUACCAAGGAUUCUGAUAAUAGGAAUGUAUUAAAACAAAGCAUGUUUUAAAAUAAAAUUGAAACCAAAGUGAAAGCUUGAAUUAAAGUUAGGUUUUUUUCUUUCACCAGAACUGAGCCUGAGUUAUUACUUCGAAGUCUUCAUUGAACCCAAACUCAAGCUAAACAAAAAGGAAAAAUUCAAUAUUUACAGUAGCUCUUUAACAUGAGAAGUGUGCACUACUAUGACAAAUAUAUCAUAGGCAGAAGAAUAAGCAUAGGAUAUUCUUGGUGCAGACAGAGAGGGAGAGUGGUGUGAAUGUGCAAGGUGGGUGAGAAGAGGAAGAGGUUGGCUUGAGAAUUCCAGAAAGGAUGAGAUGGCUUGCAUCCUGAGAGAUGGCCAAGUUAGGGGAGGAAAAAGAUUCACUGCUCAUAUUUAUUGUCAUUUGAAAUCUACUGCUGCUGCUGCUGAAACUCUUCUGACCUUUCUCGUGUAUGAUUCCUAGACACUUUUCCCCUACCCAUAUUACCCCAAUAAACAUUGUAAGUCCAUUCAAGACUGUUUAGAUGUGUCAAAUCUGCUGCUGAGCCCAAAUUAGGAAAAUACCAGUAAUGGGUGAACGUGAACCAGAACUCAGUCGAAAUAUGACUAGUGCAAAUCUCUGUUUUUAAUACUGCCAAACACUGUUGACUUAGAAAUCAGAGUUCCAGACCAUAUCUUUCAGACGAGUGUAUUUCCUGGGGCACGGUGAUUCUGCAAAAGGUCUGAAGUUUGUGUUUGACCAGCAACUCUUCCUUGCUACUGCAGUCCUGAUGCUGAAAUGGUCAAUUAAGUGAUUUUUUAGUACUGGGGUGACAGUCAAUAAAUAGUAAGUCCACUUUGGGUUUCCAUGCUUGAAAGGAGAUACUGAAAAAUCAAGGAAAAAACUAUAGACAAUAGCUGUAAAAUUAUUUAAGAGAAGACUUGGGCAUAUGCUCAAAUAAGCAAUUAGUGAAACUGCAGGACAGUGUUAGGAGCAGAACAGAAAGUCUGUGAUUCUUUUUUUUCCAGGUAGAAAGACCUCCGUAGCUGGACUGCAGGCCACAGAACUUUUCAUGAAGCCUUGAAGAGGCAGUGCGUUACACAGGACCCAGCCUUAGUUGGUCUGCAAUGUGAAUGGUGUCCUGGGAAUUAGGGAUGUGUAGAGAGUUUUUACACAGCCUCCUCCUCCUUGUCUUAUUUAACAUAGAGAUUAGAAGUUGUUUGAUUGUUGGCAGAAGACUGUAAAGAGGAAGAAUAGUUAAAGAAGCUGAAUAAAUUUUGAAAACCUGGCUUUACUUCUUGCCACUAUCAAAAAUCACGUGUACUAAAAUAUUUUGUGUUCCUCACUUGAAAAAUUAGAAGAAAUUCUGUGCUCUCCUAGCUAAAAGCUAACUUUUUGCUGCUGUGUUUGUUUCUAAUAUACCAUAUGCUAAAAACAUGAAACAGCCUAAAAUAUUAGAACCUAUGCCUAUUAAUUUAACAUGUAAGAUUUAUGCUUUAUGCUCACUCUAUUUGUGCUUUAGGUCCCAUCUUUAAAAUAGAGUAACAGCUAUUCAAGUCAGAACUGUCAAAAUAAUUUCACUAAUGCUAUUGAAUCACUCACAUUCUCUGAUAAAAAUAGCAGAGACUAAUGAAUAAGAAGGAAAUAGUAGUUUUCUACUCUAUUGAGGGAUUAUGACAGAAAAUCCUAUGGUAAGAAAGUUUUAGGACACCAUUUGGAAUAAAAAGGUAUUUAUAAAAAUAAACAAUAGCCAGUGAAGCAAGACCCUUGCAGAAAAAAUAGUAUGCUACAAUACAGCUAGAGACAGCAUCAUGAUAUUUAGACAGAAGAAGAGGGAAAUGAAUUAAAAUCACAUCACAGAGUUGAUGCUGUCAUUUCUUGGUUUCUGAGUGUUUGAUCAUGUUUUUUAAUGUAGCUUGGGGGAGGGAUAAUUAUAAUUACACUUGUUUUUAUUGUUUGCCACAGUAUUGCUCAUGUACUGUCUAAAAUAGGAUCCCUUUGUGCUAUGCAUUGCUCAUGCACACACCAGGUGACAGCCGCUGCUCCAAAUAGCUCAGAGUCUAAACAUACAAAACAGAUCAGAGUGUAUGACACACGGUGCGAUAAAUGAAUUUGCAGAAAUUGCCAUGUAAAUAUUUUGACUCCCAUUGUUUUUUAAGAGAAGGAUGUCAUUAGCGAGGUGCUACCUUGAAUGAAAGGGCAAGGAAAGGGGAUUUACGCAAACUAGAGAAGGGAGACCAGGUAGAGCGGGAUCUGAAGAACAGAGUAAGAGGAGAAGUUGGAACAGGCAACCAAAAAGCCCAGGAAGGAGUCACUGUCAUACAUAAAGAACUUCACUUCAGAUAUGUAGGUUGGCAUAGUUUAAAAGCACAUCUUUGAAAUUCUUGAGAGCCUAGAGUUUAGCAACAAGACUGGCUGAAGAGGGUGACUCAAUUGCUUUUACCUGUUUCAUUUUACAUUUUACACAUGCUAUAGAAGAGUCUUUGACCAUUUUUAUACAUCUGUCCAGUGGAGCUUUGGCAGGGUAGUCAUUUGAAAGCGCUGAAGACCUGGCAGAGAGCAUGAAGUGUUGUAUUAUCUUUUGUAUGCUGAAACUGUUGAUACUAUCACAGCAUUACAGAGAACUAUAUUCUGUGAGGUUCAUGGAAAAACACUGUACUGGUAGCCACUGAGAAAUAAAAACACCUAGGUUCUUCUGAAAUCUGUAAACCUUUUCUCCCUUAUAAUAUGUUGGGAAAAAUAAAUCUUUCCUACAUGUUAUUUUGUAUUAUCAUCAGUUAUGGUGACUGUGUUCUUUACAUUCAUUUUGAAUCUGUGUUUCCUGUCAUGAGCAGAUUAAAAACAGAAGAGAGUGGAGUGAAA